GUGCCCGUAGCUCAGCAGGAUAGAGCAUCAGAUUCCUAAUCUGGGGGCCGGAGGUUCGAAUCCUCUCGGGCACACCA
rnacentral:tRNA from 1 species